AACGGUGAAUAAUACUGGAUACUCCUUCUCACUUAAUGUGAGUCGGGAAAGUUUUUCGCUAAGGGAUCGGCCUAUGUUGUAUCAGGUAGUUGGUAGGGUAAUGGCCUACCAAGCCAAUGACACAUAGCGGGUCUGAGAGGAUGAUCCGCCACACUGGUACUGAGACACGGACCAGACUCCUACGGGAGGCAGCAGUGGGGAAUAUUGCACAAUGGACGAAAGUCUGAUGCAGCAACGCCGCGAGGAGGAUGACACAUUUCGGUGCGUAAACUCCUUUUAUAUAAGAAGAUAAUGACGGUAUUAUAUGAAUAAGCACCGGCUAACUCCGUGCCAGCAGCCGCGGUAAUACGGAGGGUGCAAGCGUUAUUCGGAAUCACUGGGCGUAAAGGGUGCGUAGGCGGUUUGUAAAGUCUGAUGUGAAAGCCUAUGGCUCAACCAUAGAACUGCAUUGGAAACUUCCAGACUAGAAUACCUUGAAAGGGGGGCCAGGAAUGGGAAAUUUAAGUUGGUGGUAAGGGGGGUAAAAAAUUCCCCGUAAGAUAUUCUCCUAGGAAAUUACCCGAAAAGCGAAAAAGCCGAAUCUUACUGGGAAGUUUAUUGAACCGCUGAGGCACGAAAGCGUGGGGGGAGCAAAAACGGGGAUUAGAUACCCCGGUAGUCCACGCCCUAAACGAUGAAUGCUAGUCGUCGGAAAGCUCGUCUUUUCGGUGAUGCAGUUAACACAUUAAGCAUUCCGCCUGGGGAGUACGGUCGCAAGAUUAAAACUCAAAGGAAUAGACGGGGACCCGCACAAGUGGUGGAGCAUGUGGUUUAAUUCGAAGAUACGCGAAAAACCUUACCUAGCCUUGACAUUGAUAGAAUCUGGUAGAGAUACCGGAGUGCCUGCUUGCAGGAACUUGAAAACAGGUGCUGCACGGCUGUCGUCAGCUCGUGUCGUGAGAUGUUGGGUUAAGUCCCGCCCCGGGCGCAACCCUCGUCGUUAGUUGCUAACAGUUCGGCUGAGCACUCUAGCGAGACUGCCUUCGCAAGGAGGAGGAAGGUGAGGAAGACGUCAAGUCAUCAUGGCCCUUAUGGCUAGGGCUACACACGUGCUACAAUGGGGCGUACAGAGAGUUGCGAUACUGCGAGGUGGAGCCAAUCUCAUAAAGCGUCUAUCAGUUCGGAUAGGACUCUGCAACUCGAGUCCUUGAAGCUGGAAUCACUAGUAAUAGUAGAUCAGCAAUGCUACGGUGAAUACGUUCCCGGGUCUUGUCUCCCGCCC
rnacentral:rRNA from 1 species